UACGUAGGGUGCGAGCGUUAAUCGGAAUUACUGGGCGUAAAGCGUGCGCAGGCGGCGCGUUAAGACAGGUGUGAAAGCCCCCGAGCUUAACUUGGGAAUUGCGCUUGUGACUGGCGUGCUGGAGUGUGGCAGAGGGAGGUGGAAUUCCACGUGUAGCAGUGAAAUGCGUAGAUAUGUGGAGGAACACCGAUGGCGAAGGCAGCCCCCCUGGGAUGUGACUGACGCUCAUGUACGAAAGCGUGGGGAGCAAACAGG
rnacentral:rRNA from 1 species